ACAAUCAAAGUGUCACAACAGGAAACCUUUUCACAUUCUCCAUCGAUGCAAUUUACCACCAGGGGCACAACUCACGCACUUGUGGAGUAUCGGAUCCUCUCUGACGACACAUUUAAGCAAGUAGCUCAGUUAAAGUUGCAGUCUUUGGAGAUUUAUCAAAGCAUCAAGCCUUCUAACAGUUAUUAAGAACUGAAGAAUUAACCUUCUUGUCCAAUGUCGUUGCAUUAGGUGCCUUUUGGCUGGUAACUAGCAGCUAUUCUUGCACCUGCACUGGCGGCGAUGAAAGCCCCCAGUUACCUUUGUGCUUCAAACAAGGAGACAGAUAAUGAAAGCCGACAAGUCCUUAUCAAAUACCUUCAAGCUGUCCAACAUUCCUUGCUCUCCAAUGGAAGCGACCAAUCUUGUAAAGUGUUCGACUGUCAUAUUGUGCUACUAUCAACGUUUUCACGUUACAGAAGUUUUCGCACUUCUACACACGACUUCAAUCCUGACAUCCGACUCCAGGGCAUUAUGUUCCUAGAGAAGUUGGAACUGGACUCUUGUGGGGAUCAAGCGGAUGAAAGGAUAUGCGGCCCGAGACAUUAAGAUUCUCUCUAAAAUCUACUGAAUGAACGUGACAAGCUCUUUCGGAUAACACAUUCUAAUUUUGGUACAAGGAACAAACUGUUCGUCGGAAAGGUGCGGAGAGGACAUACUAGAAUUCCGCGAGGUUCUGCUGACGCUGUAUUCUUUCCUUGUUCAUCUGGCCGGGGUCAGUUUUGAUCAAUAAUUCUAUUCCACGAUGUAAUGUCCGUGAUAAAACAAGGCAACAGAGCUACAAGACUGGAUCGAUCCGUGGUUGAAAAGAACAAAUCCUGUAAAGCAUUGCCUGCGGUCUGUCAAAGCAGACGAAAUCGCGCGUGGAUGUUCAUCUCUACUUAUCACCAUCCUUGACAGACAUCCACACUCGCUCUAAAACAUCCUCCUCGGUUCGUUGAAGUUUGUUGAAAAACACCCACUGUCUAGUGUCUCCUCUCCGCACCUCCGCAAAGGAGCGAUUACUACUAGGAGUUUUCAAAGAAACUCUCUUGCAUAACUGUCUGAAAGGAUAGCCGCACAUGUUCGCUCGAGUAAUCUCGCACCCCUCAAGGCCACCGCUUC
rnacentral:lncRNA from 1 species